UACGUAGGGUGCGAGCGUUAAUCGGAAUUACUGGGCGUAAAGCGUGCGCAGGCGGCGCGUUAAGACAGGUGUGAAAGCCCCGAGCUUAACUUGGGAAUUGCGCUUGUGACUGGCGGGCUGGAGUGUGGCAGAGGGAGGUGGAAUUCCACGUGUAGCAGUGAAAUGCGUAGAGAUGUGGAGGAACACCGAUGGCGAAGGCAGCCCCCCUGGGUUAACACUGACGCUCAGGCACGAAAGCGUGGGGAGCAAACAGG
rnacentral:rRNA from 1 species